rnacentral:tRNA from 1 species
AGACGAUCGGCACAUGUCCUCGGACAUGGCCCGAUAUGAACCUUCCCGUGCUUUUUAGAACAUAGAUGGCACCAGUCAGGUGACCAUCGAAACGUAAUACGCCGCGUAGACUUCGGUCACGACGGUAUGGCGAGCUUUCGCCGUCCACGUUUCUCUUUCUUCAAAAGGAUAUCGAACCAUGGGUUUGCGCUCGCGCGCUGUUCGCACCUUCGGUGCUGCGCUCCGCGAGGGCGCCGGACGACCGGCGACGGCCUCUGGCCUGUAUGGGCGACCCUUUCCGAGGUUUUGCUUAGGAUUGGCGUCGACGCAGAGAGAUGGGCCCGUAGCUCAGUUGGUUAGAGCACACGCUUGAUAAGCGUGGGGUCGGAAGUUCAAGUCUUCCCGGGCCCACCAUUUGCACCAGCAAAUGAGGUUUGCUGUAGCGAAUUGUGGUUUGUUUGGGUUUACCUGAUCCUGGCGGUUUGCUGUCAGGUGUUUGCGAUGGUUGGGGCUGUAGCUCAGCUGGGAGAGCACCUGCUUUGCAAGCAGGGGGUCAGCGGUUCGAUCCCGCUCAGCUCCACCAAUUCGCUUGGUGUCGAGACUGAGAGAGAUAUCCUUUGAAGAAAUAAAAGUUUUGCAUCGGCUUAUGGCUGAUGCUUGUUCUGCAUACAUUGUGAAGAGAAGAUUGAUCUGGAGGCUUCCAGGUGUUUUGGGUUCUGCCCAAAGCGUCCGAGCCCAGUUCUGAUGAUCCCAUGGAUGGCCUAGCCGGCCGGAUAUGGGUGAAGGACUGGAGGUAGGUAGGAAGCUUGUCACUCUGGAUCGUUCGUUGUUCGUUGCCUUUGGGCAUCGUCUGAUGAACGAUCGGAUUACCGUUGCCUGACCGCGCGGUAUCGGAUCCAAUCUCGAGAAGCUGGUCUUAAGACAGGCUGCAAGCGAGCUGCUCGGCGUAGCUCCAAUAAAGCAGACCUGUCGAACACGUUAAUGGCAUUGUUGGAUUGACUGGGUUGUAAAAGGUAACCCGGUCUGUUGCCGUUCCUUUGGAAUGGGCAACGAGACGAUGAGCAUUGGCAAUGAGAACGAUUAAGUGUCGUAAGGGCAUUUGGUGGAUGCCUUGGCAUGCACAGGCGAUGAAGGACGUGAUACGCUGCGAAAAGCCG